CCUACGGGAGGCAGCAAUGAGGAAUUUUCCCCAAUGGGCGAAAGCCUGAAGGAGCAAUGCCGCGUAAAGGAUGAAGGCCUAUGGGUUGUAAAAUUCUUUUAUCAGAGAAGAAUAUUGACGGUAUCUGAGGAAUAAGCAUCGGCUAAUUUUGUGCCAGCAGCCGCGGUAUGACAGAGGAUGCAAGCGUUAUCCGGAAUGAUUGGGCGUAAAGCGUCUGUAGGUGGCUUUAAAAGUCUCCUGUCAAAGAUCAGGGCUUAACCCUGGGCCGGCAGGAGAAACUCUGAGGCUAGAGUUUGGUAGAGCAGAGGGAAUUCCCGGUGAGCGGUGAAAUGCGUAGAUAUCGGGAGGAACACCAAAGGCGAAAGCACUCUCCUGGCCACAACUGACACUAGA
rnacentral:rRNA from 1 species